GGUGAACGAGUGAAACGUGGUCAAGGAACUCGGCAUAAUGAUCCCGUAACUUCGGAAGAAGGGAUGCCAGAGAGGGUGUAGGGUACACCGAAGCUCUCCCUGGUCGCAGCGAAUCGGCCCAAGCGACUGUUUAGCAAAAACACAGGUGUGUGCCAAGCCGCACAAGGCGCCGUAUACACACUGACGCCUGCCCGGUGCCGGAAGGUUAAGGGGAGAGAUUAGCCGCAAGGCGAAGCUUUGAGCCGAAGCCCCGGUAAACGGCGGCCGUAACAAUAACGGUCCUAAGGUAGCGAAAUUCCUUGUCGGGUAAGUUCCGACCUGCACGAAUGGCGUAACGACUUGGGCACUGUCUCGACCACGUGCUCGGCGAAAUGGCAGUCUCGGUGAGGAUUCCGAGUCCCCGCGACAGGACAAAAAGACCCCAUGCACCUUUACUGUAGCUUGUCAUUGGUCGUUGCACAUCGCUGUGUAGCAUAGGUGGGAGGCGUUGAUCCGUGGGCGCUAGCUUACGGGGAGCCAUCAGUGAAAUACCACCCUGCGUCGUGCGACGCCCUCACCACGGCGGGAACACCCCGUCUGGGACCGUGGCAGGCGGGCAGUUUGACUGGGGCGGUCGCCUCCGAAACAGUAACGGAGGCGCGCGCAAGGUUGGCUCAGCGCGGACGGUACUCGCGCUUCUAGAGUGUAACGGCAGAAGCCAGCCUGACGGUGAGAUCGACGGAUCGAGCCGCCACGAAAGUGGCCGUAGUGAUCCGGUAGCCCGGGGUGGAGCGGCUAUCGCGCAACGGAUAAAAGGUACGCUGGGGAUAACAGGCUUAUCGCGCCCGAGAGUUCACAUCGACGGCGCGGUUUGGCACCUCGAUGUCGGCUUAUCACAUCCUGGGGCUGGAGAAGGUCCCAAGGGUCCGGCUGUUCGCCGGUUAAGGUGGUACAUGAGCUGGGUUCAGAACGUCGUGAGACAGUUCGGUCUGUAUCCGUCGUGGGCGUUGGAGAGUUGAGGGGAGCGGACUCUAGUACGAGAGGACCGAGUCGGACGACCCGCUCGUGUCCCGGUUGUCCUGCCAAGGGCACCGCCGGGUAGCGAUGGUCGGCUGUGAUAACCGCUGAAAGCAUCUAAGUGGGAAGCACGCCCCAAGAUGAACUCUCCCGAGGCCUUGAGCCUCUUGAAGGGCCGGGGAAGACCACCCCGCCGAUAGGCCGCCCGUGGACGUCCCGCAAGGGAUUCCAAGCGCAGCGGUCCUAAUCGCCCGUAUGGCUUGACUAC
rnacentral:rRNA from 1 species